GACGAACGCUGGCGGCGUGCCUAACACAUGCAAGUCGAGCGGGGAACGGACGGUAGCUUGCUACAGUUUGUUUCUAGCGGCGGACGGGUGAGUAACGCGUGAGCAACCUGCCUUUAUCAGGGGGAUAACGCAUCGAAAGAUGUGCUAAUACCGCGUAAGACCACAGCUUCACAUGGAGCGGGGGUCAAAGGAGCAAUCCGGAUAAAGAUGGGCUCGCGUCCGAUUAGCUAGUUGGUGAGAUAACAGCCCACCAAGGCGACGAUCGGUAGCCGACCUGAGAGGGUGAUCGGCCACAUUGGAACUGAGAGACGGUCCAGACUCCUACGGGAGGCAGCAGUGGGGAAUAUUGGGCAAUGGGCGAAAGCCUGACCCAGCAACGCCGCGUGAGGGAAGAAGGGUUUCGGCUCGUAAACCUCUGUC
rnacentral:rRNA from 1 species